rnacentral:rRNA from 1 species
GAUGAACGCUGGCGGCGUGCUUAACACAUGCAAGUCGAACGAAGCACUUUAUUUGAUUUCCUUCGGGACUGAUUAUUUUGUGACUGAGUGGCGGACGGGUGAGUAACGCGUGGGCAACCUGCCUUGUACAGGGGGAUAACAGUUGGAAACGGCUGCUAAUACCGCAUAAGCGCACAGCAUCGCAUGAUGCAGUGUGAAAAACUCCAGUGGUAUAAGAUGGACCCGCGUUGGAUUAGCUAGUUGGUGAGGUAACGGCCCACCAAGGCGACGAUCCAUAGCCGACCUGAGAGGGUGACCGGCCACAUUGGGACUGAGACACGGCCCAAACUCCUACGGGAGGCAGCAGUGGGGAAUAUUGCACAAUGGGCGAAAGCCUGAUGCAGCGACGCCGCGUGAGCGAAGAAGUAUUUCGGUAUGUAAAGCUCUAUCAGCAGGGAAGAUAAUGACGGUACCUGACUAAGAAGCACCGGCUAAAUACGUGCCAGCAGCCGCGGUAAUACGUAUGGUGCAAGCGUUAUCCGGAUUUACUGGGUGUAAAGGGAGCGCAGGCGGUGCGGCAAGUCUGAUGUGAAAGCCCGGGGCUCAACCCCGGUACUGCAUUGGAAACUGUCGUACUAGAGUGUCGGAGGGGUAAGCGGAAUUCCUAGUGUAGCGGUGAAAUGCGUAGAUAUUAGGAGGAACACCAGUGGCGAAGGCGGCUUACUGGACGAUAACUGACGCUGAGGCUCGAAAGCGUGGGGAGCAAACAAGAUUAGAUACCCUGGUAGUCCACGCCGUAAACGAUGA